rnacentral:misc_RNA from 1 species
AGCGACUGUGUCAUAGUGAAUGCCAUUGUUAAUUAAUCCGACUGCGUUUGCGCUUAGAAGAAGAUCAGUUCGCUGCCACGGGCGAUAUUGGUCGUAAUGUCUGUGUCGGGCGAUAAGCGUGUGAAAUAUCAUGGUAUAACGGUGAACUAUCUGACGUACGUGAAACGAGAUGUGAGGCAUGAGUAUGAUGGAUAAAAAACAGUUUAAAAUUGGUGCUCCAUGGUAGUCGUCAUCGUGUGUACUGAGCCACUGUUGUCAGCAACAUUUUAAAACACCGACAGCAAAAUAACGACGCCUAGGGGUACUAUACCAGAGAUCGACGAAGCGAUCGACCAAAUAUCUUCCUUUCUGGAUUCGAUGACGAACUUUAUUCCAUUCUGGUACCACUUACGGUUUACAUCCGUAAUUUUACAACCUUGCUCCAUGCUUGCGAUGCUAAAAUCCACGCAGCUGUGAGACCGAGAGACCCUCCGUUCCGACCCAGAAUUCAGGACGCUUUGAGCAACGAACCACAAAACUCGUGUCACCGACGCGAUGUUAUGAUAAACAGAUUUUCAGCUACCAAG